rnacentral:rRNA from 1 species
CACGUAGGGUGCGAGCGUUGUCCGGAAUUAUUGGGCGUAAAGAGCUCGUAGGCGGUGUGUCGCGUCGGCCGUGAAAACCUGCAGCUUAACUGUGGGCUUGCGGUCGAUACGGGCAUCACUGGAGUUCGGCAGGGGAGACUGGAAUUCCUGGUGUAGCGGUGAAAUGCGUAGAUAUCGGGAGGAACACCAGUGGCGAAGGCGGCUUUCUGGUCUGCUCUUGACGCUGAGGCGCGAAAGCUAGGGUAGCAAACGGG